AUUGAACGCUGGCGGAAUGCUUUACACAUGCAAGUCGAACGGCAGCACGGACUUCGGUCUGGUGGCGAGUGGCGAACGGGUGAGUAAUACAUCGGAACGUGCCCAGUCGUGGGGGAUAACGUAGCGAAAGCUACGCUAAUACCGCAUACGAUCUAAGGAUGAAAGCGGGGGAUCGCAAGACCUCGCGCGAUUGGAGCGGCCGAUGGCAGAUUAGGUAGUUGGUAGGGUAAAGGCCUACCAAGCCGACGAUCUGUAGCUGGUCUGAGAGGACGACCAGCCACACUGGGACUGAGACACGGACCAGACUCCUACGGGAGGCAGCAGUGGGGAAUUUUGGACAAUGGACGAAAGUCUGAUCCAGCCAUUCCGCGUGCAGGAUGAAGGCCCUCGGGUUGUAAACUGCUUUUGUACAGAACGAAAAGGCUCUGGUUAAUACCUGGGGCUCAUGACGGUACUGUAAGAAUAAGCACCGGCUAACUACGUGCCAGCCGCCGCGGUAA
rnacentral:rRNA from 1 species